AACGUAGGACGCAAGCGUUAUCCGGAGUUACUGGGCGUAAAGCGCGGGCAGGCGGCUCGAUGCGUCUGAUGUGAAAGCUCGAGGCUCAACUUCGAGUCGGCCGUGGAUACUCCUAAGCUCGAGCACUGUAGAGGCAGGUGGAAUUCCGGGUGUAGCGGUGGAAUGCGUAGAGAUCCGGAAGAACACCGGUGGCGAAGGCGGCCUGCUGGGCAGUAGCUGACGCUGAGGUGCGAAAGCGUGGGGAGCAAACAGG
rnacentral:rRNA from 1 species